rnacentral:rRNA from 1 species
UACGGGGGGGGCAAGCGUUGUUCGGAAUUACUGGGCGUAAAGGGCUCGUAGGCGGCCAACUAAGUCAGACGUGAAAUCCCUCGGCUUAACCGGGGAACUGCGUCUGAUACUGGAUGGCUUGAGUUUGGGAGAGGGAUGCGGAAUUCCAGGUGUAGCGGUGAAAUGCGUAGAUAUCUGGAGGAACACCGGUGGCGAAGGCGGUGGUCUGGGCCGGAACUGACGCUGAGGAGCGAAAGCGUGGGGAGCGAACAGG